AUUGAACGCUGGCGGAAUGCUUUACACAUGCAAGUCGAGCGGCAGCGCGGGGGCAACCCUGGCGGCGAGCGGCGAACGGGUGAGUAACAUAUCGGAACGUACCCCGUCGUGGGGGAGUAACACAGCGAAAGCUGUGCUAAUACCGCAUAUUCUGUGAGCAGGAAAGCGGGGGAGUCGCAAGACCUCGCGCUUCCGGAGCGGCCGAUGUCGGAUUAGCUAGUUGGCGGGGUAAAGGCCCACCAAGGCGACGAUCCGUAGCUGGUCUGAGAGGAUGAUCAGCCACACUGGAACUGAGACACGGUCCAGACUCCUACGGGAGGCAGCAGUGGGGAAUAUUGGACAAUGGGGGCGAACCCUGAUCCAGCCAUGCCGCGUGUGUGAAGAAGG
rnacentral:rRNA from 1 species